rnacentral:rRNA from 1 species
GAAAGUAAGCAAGGGCGCAUGGCGGAUGCCUUGGCUCUCGGAGGCGAUGAAGGACGUGAUAAGCUGCGAUAAGCUUCGGGCAGGUGCAAAUAACCUUUGAUCCGAAGAUUUCCGAAUGGGACAACCCGUCAUUCUGAAGGAAUGACAUCUUGCAUAGCAAGAGGCUAACGCAGGGAACUGAAACAUCUUAGUACCUGUAGGAAAAGAAAAUAAUAAUGAUUCCCCUAGUAGUGGCGAGCGAACGGGGAUUAGCCCAAACCAAUGUUGUUACGGCAAUAUUGGGGUUGUAGGACCACGAUGUCGCAAGAAAUUUAGUGAGAAGAACCCUUUGGAAAAUGGGACCAUAGACGGUGAUAGUCCGGUAUUCGAAGCUAAAUGAAGCGUAGUGGUAUCCUGAGUAGCGCGGGACACGAGGAAUCUUGCGUGAAUCUGCCGGGACCAUCCGGUAAGGCUAAAUACUCCCGAGAGACCGAUAGCGAACCAGUACUGUGAAGGAAAGGUGAAAAGCACUUCGAAUAGAAGAGUGAAAUAGUCCCUGAAACCGUGCGCCUACAAGCGGUCGGAGCUGCUUCAGCAGUGACGGCGUGCCUUUUGCAUAAUGAACCUACGAGUUACUUUUUCCGGCAAGGUUAAGGAUCUUGAGAUCCGCAGCCGAAGCGAAAGCGAGUCUUAACAGGGCGAUUAGUCGGAAGGAGUAGACGCGAAACCAAGUGAUCUACCCUUGGUCAGGUUGAAGGUUAGGUAACACUAACUGGAGGACCGAACCGAUAAGCGUUGAAAAGCUUCCGGAUGAACUGAGGGUGGGGGUGAAAGGCUAAUCAAACUUGGAGAUAGCUCGUACUCCCCGAAAUGCAUUUAGGUGCAGCCUUGGGAAUUACUACUGUGAGGUAGAGCGACUGAUAAGAUGCGAGGGCUUCACCGCCUAUCAAGUCUUGAUAAACUCCGAAUGCGCAGUAGUUCGAUCCCAGGAGUGAGGGCAUGGGUGCUAAGGUCCAUGUCCUAAAGGAGAAGAAUCCAGACCAUCAGCUAAGGUCCCGAAAUAAUUGCUAAGUUGAACUAACGAAGUCAGAUUGCUAAGACAGCUAGGAUGUUGGCUUGGAAGCAGCCAUUCAUUUAAAGAGUGCGUAACAGCUCACUAGUCGAGGAGUUUGGCGUGGAUAAUAAUCGGGCAUUAAGCAAUUUACCGAAGCUAUGGGAUCCGUAAGGAUCGGUAGGGGAGCAUUCCACUCCGCGUCGAAGGUGAAGCGUGAGCUUUGCUGGAGCGUGUGGAAAAGCAAAUGUAGGUAUAAGUAACGAUAAAGGGGGUGAGAAACCCCCUCGCCGAAAGACUAAGGUUUCCUGAUCAACGCUAAUCGGAUCAGGGUUAGUCGGGUCCUAAGGCUCAGCCGAACGGUGAGGCCGAUGGCAGAACAGGUUAAUAUUCCUGUACUACCUUAAGGAGUGACGUGGAGACGGAGGAGUGACAGCGCCGCGGACUGACGGAAUAGUCCGUUGAAGGGUGUAGAUGUUGAUUAUCCCAGGCAAAUCCGGGAUAAGAGUCGAACCUGAUAGUAUACCAAAUUCUUCGGAAUAAGGUAAUAGUGCGUGUAAGCAUACUCCCAAGAAAAUCCGCUAAACUUAAUCUUUAAGGUACCCGUACCGCAAACGGACACACGUAGUCGGGUUGAAUAUACUAAGGCGCUUGAGUGAUUCACGGUUAAGGAACUAGGCAAAUUGACCCUGUAACUUCGGGAUAAAGGGUCCCAACGAGAGUUGGGCGCAGAGAAUAGGUCCAGGCAACUGUUUAACAAAAACACAGGGCUGUGCCAAAUUGAAAGAUUACGUAUACAGCCUGACACCUGCCCGGUGCUGGAAGGUUAAGAGGAGAUGUCAUCGCAAGAGAAGCAUUGAAUUGAAGCCCCAGUAAACGGCGGCCGUAACUAUAACGGUCCUAAGGUAGCGAAAUUCCUUGUCGGGUAAGUUCCGACCUGCACGAAUGGUGUAAUGAUCUGGACACUGUCUCAACCGUGAGCUCAGUGAAAUUGUAGUAUCGGUGAAGAUGCCGAUUACCCGCGAUGGGACGAAAAGACCCCGUGAACCUUUACUAU